rnacentral:rRNA from 1 species
GACGAACGCUGGCGGCAUGCCUAAUACAUGCAAGCCGAACGGCAAGUUUGAUAUCGAUAGUGGACCUAGAGUGGCGCAAGGGUGCGUAACACGUGUGCAACCUGCCCUCGACAGUGGGAUAGCUCCCCGAAAGGGGAAUUAACCCCCCAUAACACCAUGAGCAGGCAGCUGGUGGUGGUUAAACCUCAAGGGGUCGCGAAUGGGCAUGCGGUUGAUUAGGUAGUGGGCGGGUUAAGGGCCCACCAAGGCUGUGCUCAAUAGGGGUUCUUAGAGGAAGGUCCCCCACACUGGCACUGAGAUACGGGGCAGAAGCCUACGGGCGGCAGCAGUAGGGAAUAUUGGACAAUGGUUGUAAGACUGUGGCCGGCAGGCCGAGUGAAGGACGACGGCUGCCUGGGUAGUACACUGCUUUUUUAUGUGGAUAAAAUACCCGUGCGAGGGGAAUUGACGGUAACAGGGGAAUAAGCAACGGCUAACUACGUG